rnacentral:rRNA from 1 species
AGUGAACGCUGGCGGUAGGCCUAACACAUGCAAGUCGAACGGCAGCACAGUAAGAGCUUGCUCUUACGGGUGGCGAGUGGCGGACGGGUGAGGAAUACAUCGGAAUCUACUUUUUCGUGGGGGAUAACGGAGGGAAACUUACGCUAAUACCGCAUACGACCUACGGGUGAAAGCAGGGGAUCUUCGGACCUUGCGCGAUUGAAUGAGCCGAUUUCGGAUUAGCUAGUUGGCGGGGUAAAGGCCCACCAAGGCGACGAUCCGUAGCUGGUCUGAGAGGAUGAUCAGCCACACUGGAACUGAGACACGGUCCAGACUCCUACGGGAGGCAGCAGUGGGGAAUAUUGGACAAUGGGCGCAAGCCUGAUCCAGCCAUACCGCGUGAGUGAAGAAGGCCUUCGGGUUGUAAAGCCCUUUUGUUGGGAAAGAAAAGCAGCAGGUUAAUACCCCGCUGUUCUGACGGUACCCAAAGAAUAAGCACCGGCUAACUUCGUG